GCCCUUAGAGUUUGAUCCUGGCUCAGGACGAACGCUGGCGGCGUGCUUAACACACGCAAGUCGAGCGGUAAGGCCCUUCGGGGUACACGAGCGGCGAACGGGUGAGUAACACGUGAGCAACCUGCCCCUGACUCUGGGAUAAGCGGUGGAAACGCCGUCUAAUACCGGAUACGACCUUCCACCUCAUGGUGGAGGGUGGAAAGUUUUUUCGGUCAGGGAUGGGCUCGCGGCCUAUCAGCUUGUUGGUGGGGUAACGGCCUACCAAGGCGAUUACGGGUAGCCGGCCUGAGAGGGCGACCGGCCACACUGGGACUGAGACACGGCCCAGACUCCUGCGGGAGGCAGCAGUGGGGAAUAUUGCGCAAUGGGCGAAAGCCUGACGCAGCGACGCCGCGUGGGGGAUGACGGCCUUCGGGUUGUAAACCUCUUUUACCACCAACGCAGGCUCCGGGUUCUCUCGGGGUUGACGGUAGGUGGGGAAUAAGGACCGGCUAACUACGUGCCAGCAGCCGCGGUAAUACGUAGGGUCCGAGCGUUGUCCGGAAUUAUUGGGCGUAAAGAGCUC
rnacentral:rRNA from 1 species